rnacentral:misc_RNA from 1 species
GCCAGCAUAUCCCAACCCACGCGCCGCCCUAAUCCGCCGCUUAAUUGCAGCUCUUAUUGUCGUCACCGUCCUAUUCUUAACCAUUCUCUUCAUAUGCUGGCUCGUCAUCCAGCCCCACCGCCCCGAAUUUCAUGUAACGUCUUUUUCUGUCUCCAACUUGAACGUAUCCACAUCCUCGCAGAGACUGACAGGCAACUGGAACGCCCGCUUCCAGGUUUAUAACCCGAACAAGAAACUGAAAAUCUCCUACGAUGAAAUUAUGUCCUCGAUUCUUUACAAAUCGGAGAUUUUAUCACAGACACGAAUCCCACCCUUCAAACAGGACACCAAGAAUCAUACUACCAUGGAUGCAGAGUUCUCGGUGGUGGAUUCUUACGUGGACGAGCGGGUGGUGAAUGGUAUCAACGGGGACAGGGCAAACGGUGCUGUGGGUUUCGAGGUGCGGGUGGUGGCUGAUGUUGGAUUUAAGGUAGGUGGGUUCAGAGCGCGGCGGCGUUUGCUAAGAGUUUGGUGCGACAAUGUGUCCAUUGGACUUACGGCUAAUGGUAGAUCGGGGAACUUGACUGGGGGAGCAAGGAAAUGCAAGGUUUUUGCGUGAGUAAAAUUUGGAGCCG